rnacentral:rRNA from 1 species
UACAGAGGUCUCAAGCGUUGUUCGGAUUCAUUGGGCGUAAAGGGUGCGUAGGUGGCGUGGUAAGUCGGGUGUGAAAUUUCGGAGCUUAACUCCGAAACUGCAUUCGAUACUGCUGUGCUUGAGGACUGGAGAGGAGACUGGAAUUUACGGUGUAGCAGUGAAAUGCGUAGAUAUCGUAAGGAAGACCAGUGGCGAAGGCGGGUCUCUGGACAGUUCCUGACGCUGAGGCACGAAGGUCAGGGGGAGCAAACGGGG